CUGCAAUCAGCCUUUAGGCAUACUGCUAAGUUGCAGAGAUUCCCUCUCUUUUCUUACAGCCUGCAUGAUUAUUCUUCCAUCAGUCCAAAAUUUGGAAGAUGUUCUUUCUCACAGAGACAAGACUGGAGUAUGCACAACUGGCAAUAAGGAGGGGAGUUGCCAUAACCACCUUGUUGAUAACACAAGCUAUGUUAUACCAUAUUUGUCUUUUGUCCGAACAGAUACCAUUUUACAGUGAUGAACUUUGGAUGGAGCUUACCAUUGGCAAUGUUUGGAGUCACAUUGAAAGAUCAGCAUGACUCCAUUUGUUUUCUUUAUGCUAAGAAAGAAAACUGGUAAUAUGUGUCAGAACUAGUGAAUCUUCAAAGCUAUACUUAACAUAAUCCUUUCAUACAAAGCCUGUAAUCCUUUAAUAAAAGCCUU
rnacentral:lncRNA from 11 species